AAAUCGAACGGCAGCUCGGGGAGCAAUCCUGGUGGCGAGUGGCGAACGGGUGAGUAAAUACAUCGGAACGUGCCCAAUCGUGGGGGAUAACGCAGCGAAAGCUGUGCUAAUCCGCAUACGAUCUACGGAUGAAAGCAGGGGAUCGCAAGACCUUGCGCGAAUGGAGCGGGCCGAUGGCAGAUUAGGUAGUUGGUGAGGUAAAGGCUCACCAAGCCGUCGAUCUGUAGCUGGUCUGAGAGGACGACCAGCCACACUGGGACUGAGACACGGCCCAGACUCCUACGGGAGGCAGCAGUGGGGAAUUUUGGACAAUGGGCGAAAGCCUGAUCCAGCCAUGCCGCGUGCAGGAUGAAGGCCUUCGGGUUGUAAACUGCUUUUGUACGGAACGAAACGGCCUUUUCUAAUAAAGAGGGCUAAUGACGGUACCGUAAGAAUAAGCACUGGCUAACUACGUGCCAGCAGCCGCGGUAAUACGUAGGGUGCAAGCGUUAAUCGGAAUUACUGGGCGUAAAGCGUGCGCAGGCGGUUAUGUAAGACAGUUGUGAAAUCCCCGGGCUCAACCUGGGAACUGCAUCUGUGACUGCAUAGCUAGAGUACGGUAGAGGGGGAUGGAAUUCCGCGUGUAGCAGUGAAAUGCGUAGAUAUGCGGAGGAACACCGAUGGCGAAGGCAAUCCCCUGGACCUGUACUGACGCUCAUGCACGAAAGCGUGGGGAGCAAACAGG
rnacentral:rRNA from 1 species